rnacentral:rRNA from 1 species
GCUGGCGGCGCGCCUAACACAUGCAAGUCGAACGAGAAAGGGGAGCAAUCCCUGAGUACAGUGGCGUACGGGUGAGUAACACGUGGGUAAUCUGCCCUUUGGUGGGGAAUAACCCUGGGAAACCGGGGCUAAUACCGCAUAAGUCCGAGAGGAGAAAGCAGCAAUGCGCCGAAGGAGGAGCCCGCGGCCGAUUAGCUAGUUGGUAGGGUAAAGGCCUACCAAGGCAAAGAUCGGUAGCCGGCCUGAGAGGGCACACGGCCACACUGGCACUGAAACACGGGCCAGACUCCUACGGGAGGCAGCAGUGGGGAAUCUUGCACAAUGGGGGAAACCCUGAUGCAGCGACGCCGCGUGAGCGAUGAAGCCCUUCGGGGUGUAAAGCUCUUUCGGCAGGGAAGAUGAUGACGGUACCUGCAGAAGCAGCUGCGGCUAACUACGUGCCAGCAGCCGCGGUAAUACGUAAGCAGCAAGCGUUGUUCGGAGUUACUGGGCGUAAAGGGUGUGUANGCGGUUUGGUAAGUCUGGUGUGAAAUCUCCCGGCUCAACUGAGAGGGUGCGCCGGAAACUGCUGGA